rnacentral:tRNA from 1 species
GGGGGUGUAGCUCAGAUGGGAGAGCGCUCGCUUAGCAUGCGAGAGGUACUGGGAUCGAUAAACAGCACCUCCA